rnacentral:rRNA from 1 species
UGGGGGAAUUUUGGACAAUGGGCGAAAGCCUGAUCCAGCAAUGCCGCGUGUGUGAAGAAGGCCUUCGGGUUGUAAAGCACUUUUGUCCGGAAAGAAAUCCUUGGCUCUAAUACAGUCGGGGGAUGACGGUACCGGAAGAAUAAGCACCGGCUAACUACGUGCCAGCAGCCGCGGUAAUACGUAGGGUGCAAGCGUUAAUCGGAAUUACUGGGCGUAAAGCGUGCGCAGGCGGUUUGCUAAGACCGAUGUGAAAUCCCCGGGCUCAACCUGGGAACUGCAUUGGUGACUGGCAGGCUAGAGUAUGGCAGAGGGGGGUAGAAUUCCACGUGUAGCAGUGAAAUGCGUAGAGAUGUGGAGGAAUACCGAUGGCGAAGGCAGCCCCCUGGGCCAAUACUGACGCUCAUGCACGAAAGCGUGGGGGAGCAAACAGGAUUAGAUACCCUGGUAGUCCACGCCCUAAACGAUGUCAACUAGUUGUUGGGGAUUCAUUUCCUUAGUAACGUAGCUAACGCGUGAAGUUGACCGCCUGGGGAGUACGGUCGCAAGAUUAAAACUCAAAUGAAUUGACGGGGUCAUAGCUGUUUCCU